rnacentral:misc_RNA from 1 species
GAAAUGCGAUAAGUAAUGUGAAUUGCAGAAUUCAGUGAACCAUCGAACCUUUGAACGCACAUUGCGCCCCCCGGCACCCCAGGGGGCAUGCCCGUCCGAGCGUCAUCUCAGACCCUCAGGCCCCGGCCUGGCACUGGGCCGCGCGCCUCCCCGCCCCACGGCGGGGGACGCGGGCCCGAAUGCCCGCGGCGGUGGUGCCCCGGAUCGAGCGACCAAGGCCCGACGGCCCCGCUUCAGGUCCCGAGGGCGCCGCCCGCCCGCCCCCCAAGCUCGCGGAGCCGGGGUGCGAUUUACCCCCAAGCGGUUGACCUCGGAUCGGGCAGGGAUACCCGCUGAACUUAAGC